rnacentral:rRNA from 1 species
AGAGUUUGAUCAUGGCUCAGAAUCAACGCUGGCGGCGUGCCUAACACAUGCAAGUCGAACGAGAAAGUGGAGCAAUCCAUGAGUAAAGUGGCGCACGGGUGAGUAACACGUGACUAACCUACCCUUGAGUGGGGGAUAACUGAGGGAAACCUUAGCUAAUACCGCAUAAUACCUACGGGUCAAAGGAGCAAUUCGCUCGAGGAGGGGGUCGCGGCCGAUUAGUUAGUUGGCGGGGUAAUGGCCCACCAAGACGAUGAUCGGUAUCCGGCCUGAGAGGGCGCACGGACACACUGGAACUGAAACACGGUCCAGACUCCUACGGGAGGCAGCAGUGGGGAAUUUUGCGCAAUGGGGGAAACCCUGACGCAGCAACGCCGCGUGGAGGAUGAAGUCCUUCGGGACGUAAACUCCUUUCGAUCGGGACGAUUAUGACGGUACCGGAAGAAGAAGCCCCGGCUAACUUCGUGCCAGCAGCCGCGGUAAUACGAGGGGGGCGAGCGUUGUUCGGAAUUAUUGGGCGUAAAGGGUGCGUAGGCGGUUUGGUAAGUCUCGUGUGAAAUCUACAGGCUCAACUUGUAGUCUGCACGAGAAACUGCCGGGCUUGAGUAUGGGAGAGGUGAGUGGAAUUCCUGGUGUAGCGGUGAAAUGCGUAGAUAUCAGGAGGAACACCUGUGGCGAAAGCGGCUCACUGGACCAUAACUGACGCUGAUGCACGAAAGCUAGGGGAGCAAACAGGAUUAGAUACCCCAGUAGUCC